CCAGACUCCUACGGGAGGCAGCAGUGGGGAAUAUUGCACAAUGGGGGAAACCCUGAUGCAGCGACGCCGCGUGAGCGAUGAAGUAUUUCGGUAUGUAAAGCUCUAUCAGCAGGGAAGAAAAUGACGGUACCUGACUAAGAAGCCCCGGCUAACUACGUGCCAGCAGCCGCGGUAAUACGUAGGGGGCAAGCGUUAUCCGGAUUUACUGGGUGUAAAGGGAGCGUAGACGGUCCUGCAAGCCAGAUGUGAAAGCCCAGGGCUCAACCCCGGGACUGCAUUGGGAACUGGCGUGCUGGAGUGCCGGAGGGGCAGGCGGAAUUCCUGGUGUAGCGGUGAAAUGCGUAGAUAUCAGGAGGAACACCGGUGGCGAAGGCGGCCUGCUGGACGGAUACUGACGCUGAGGCCCGAAAGCGUGGGGAGCGAACAGGAUUAGAUACCCCUGUAGA
rnacentral:rRNA from 1 species